rnacentral:SRP_RNA from 1 species
GCCGGGCAUGGUGGCUCACGCCUGUAAUCCCAGCACUUUGGGAGGCUGGGGCAGGUGGAUCACCUGAGGUCAGGAGUUCGAGACCAGCCUGACCAACAUGGUGAAACCCUGUCUCUA